UUCCGGUUGAUCCUGCCGGACCUGACUGCUAUCGGAUUAAUACUAAGCCAUGCGAGUUUUUGUAGUAAUACAAGGCAUACGGCUCAGUAACACGUAGUCAACCUACCCUAUGGACAAGGAUAAUCUCGGGAAACUGAGCAUAAUACUCGAUAGAUCAUAAUGCCUGGAAUGGUUUAUGGUUGAAAUGAUUCGUUCGCCAUAGGAUGGGACUGCGGCCUAUCAGCUUGUUGGUGGGGUAAUGGCCCACCAAGGCGAUUACAGGUACGGGCUCUGAGAGGAGAAGCCCGGAGAUGGGUACUGAGACACGGACCCAGGCCCUAUGGGGCGCAGCAGGCGAGAAAACUUUGCAAUGUGCGAAAGCACGACAAGGUUAGUCCGAGUGAUUUCUGCUAAAGAAAUCUUUUGCAAGUCGUAAAACCACUAGUGAAUAAGGGGUGGGCAAGUUCUGGUGUCAGCCGCCGCGGUAAAACCAGCACCUCAAGUGGUCAGGAGGAUUAUUGGGCCUAAAGCAUCCGUAGCCUGUUUUGUAAGUCUUCGGUUAAAUCCACAUGCUCAACAUGUGGGCUGCCGGAGAUACUGCAAAACUAGGGAGUGGGAGUGGUAGACGGUACUUGAUAGGAAGGGGUAAAAUCCUUUGAUCUAUUGAUGACCACCUGUGGCGAAGGCGGUCUACCAGAACACGUUCGACGGUGAGGGAUGAAAGCUGGGGGAGCAAACCGGAUUAGAUACCCGGGUAGUCCCAGCUGUAAACGAUGCAGACUCGGUGAUGCAUUGGUUUAUUGCCAGUGCAGUGCCGCAGGGAAGCCGUUAAGUCUGCCGCCUGGGAAGUACGUACGCAAGUAUGAAACUUAAAAGAAUUGGCGGGGGAGCACCACAAGGGGUGAAGCCUGCGGUUCAAUUGGAGUCAACGCCGGA
rnacentral:rRNA from 1 species